ensembl:lncRNA
ACCAAGGCUCCAAUCUGGCCUCUCCCAUUCCCUGGCUGUGUGAUCUUGUGCCUCCCUAAGUCUCAGGGUCUCCAUUUCUUGAAAAUGAGGAUAUUCCUGCUUUACAAAGUGGCUGAGAGGAUGAAGAUGCAAAGUACGUGGCCCUCCUACCGUCUAACCACUGAUGCAUGGUAGUGGUAAAUGGGAUGAGAUAGGUUGAAAUCUUUUGUACCCAACUUGUCACUUGGGCCUUGGGAUUAAAUUAUCAAGAAAAGAGGUGGCUUUGGGAAAAGUCUACCUCCUCAAAGACCAGAGAGUUCCAAUCCAGAAUACAGUUAUGAUCUGAGGCCUGGGGACCCCAGCUGUCCAAUCAGGGUCAGCCUCAUGCCCCUGGGCGUGUGCAAAGCUGGAAGGCAACCAUCUUGAGCCAGAUUGUGGACUCUCAGUUCACUAGGAAGGGGCUGUCAGGUUCCAGCAACCCAGCCAGCCUUUCCUCACCAGCCUCAGGCCGCCAUCUCCUACCCUGUGUCCUACAGGAAGCAACUCCAGAAAAUCAGGGUCCAAGUGCUCCCAUUAAAUCAUGGCCAUGGACUCAGGAUCCUGAUACCAGUAUGCAACUUGGCCUUAAAGAUCACCCAGGACUCAUUAAAACCCAGGAGGGAGCCGGGUCCAGUAGUGCAGGCCAGUAAUCUCAGCUACUAGGGAGACUGAGAUAGGAGAAUAGUAAAUUUGAGGCCAGCCUGGGCAACAAAAAAAUAUAUAAAGGCUAGAAAAAAUAGAAGGCCUAGAACCUGCCUCAACCUCAUCUCCGUGGUCCACACUCCAGCUCCAGGCUCUACUGUCAGGAUUGCUUCCCUGCCAUGCCCAGGACAGGGAAGCUGGUACAGAGGUCUCUGUGUCUUGGUCUCCCACAUGUCCAUCUCCAAGGGAUGGAAAGCAUCCAGGUGACUGCCUUCAGAUAAAAGCAUUCUUGGUGUCAGAGCCCAUGGGAGAACAGGGAUGAGAGCUCCGUGUCCCCUGGGAAACCAGCUUCAGUUCUGUAGCAACAGCUUGUAAUUACACCAACCAGCUCACCAUGGUAGGAGGCAAGGACCUGCACAACCACAGCUGUGUGACCACAGGCCAGACGACUCACCCUUUGAACCCUGGCUCCCCUGCUGCCCUGUGAGGGGGAUAAUAACCUUGGCUGGGCCAUGGCCCAGGCUGUGGGCACUCAGGUGAGGUCAUGGAUGGGGAAAAUGCUGUGUAGACUCUGAAUCCAGGGUUCAGGUGAGGGUGCAUCUGUAUUAUCAGAUGAAGUCAGAAGCCACAGGCGGAUCAUAAGGCAGAUACUUGCUCAGAAUCCUGCCACAAUUUCAGGAUUAGGACUGAGUGACUUGAGCCCUUAAUUUUCAGUGUUUUCUGUUUUAUUUUUAUUUAUUUAUUUUGGUUUUUUGGAGACAGUGUCUUUUCUUUUUUCCCUGUUAUCCGGGAUCA